UACGAAGGGGGGCUAGCGUUGCUCGGAAUGACUGGGCGUAAAGGGCGCGUAGGCGGCGCAUUUAGUCAGGCGUGAAAUUCCUGGGCUCAACCUGGGGACUGCGCUUGAUACGGGUGUGCUUGAGGAUGGAAGAGGCUCGCGGAAUUCCCAGUGUAGAGGUGAAAUUCGUAGAUAUUGGGAAGAACACCGGUGGCGAAGGCGGCGAGCUGGUCCAUUACUGACGCUGAGGCGCGACAGCGUGGGGGAGCAAACAGG
rnacentral:rRNA from 1 species